GAUGAACGCUGGCGGCGUGCCUAAUACAUGCAAGUCGAGCGAACAGACGAGGAGCUUGCUCCUCUGACGUUAGCGGCGGACGGGUGAGUAACACGUGGAUAACCUACCUAUAAGACUGGGAUAACUUCGGGAAACCGGAGCUAAGACCGGAUAAUAUAUUGAACCGCAUGGUUCAAUAGUGAAAGACGGUUUUGCUGUCACUUAUAGAUGGAUCCGCGCCGCAUUAGCUAGUUGGUAAGGUAACGGCUUACCAAGGCAACGAUGCGUAGCCGACCUGAGAGGGUGAUGGGCCACACUGGAACUGAGACACGGUCCAGAGUCCUACGGGAGGCAGCAGCAGGGAAUCUUCCGAAAUGGGCGAAAGCUUGACGGAGCAACGCCGCGUGAGUGAUGAAGGUCUUCGGAUCGUAAAACUCUGUUAUUAGGGAAGAACAAAUGUGUAAGUAACUAUGCACGUCUUGACGGUACCUAAUCAGAAAGCCACGGCUAACUACGUG
rnacentral:rRNA from 1 species